GGGCCGGGUAGGGUGGAGGUCUCGCCAGCCUCUCAUCCCGUACGGCGUAAAGCGGGCACCAGUAACCCCCACAUGGGCGUCGAGCCCGUGGUGGGGUCCGAACCGUACGAUGAUGGCCGCCCAGCAGGGCUGACGGAUAGGGUCUCCACUCCUGGAGGGGAGAGGGGAACCCUAUUAGCUGGGGGAAUCGGUGAGGCCCGGAAGGGAGCAGCCGUGCCUGGACGUCAGAGCUUGCUGGUCACCGGUCGGAGGAAGAUUCGGGCUCACCCCCACCACAGGCAGGCGAGCAUGUGGGGGAGCCGGCCC
rnacentral:SRP_RNA from 1 species